GAUGAACGCUGGCGGCGUGCCUAAUACAUGCAAGUCGAGCGAACAGAUAAGGAGCUUGCUCCUUUGACGUUAGCGGCGGACGGGUGAGUAACACGUGGGUAACCUACCUAUAAGACUGGAAUAACUCCGGGAAACCGGGGCUAAUGCCGGAUAACAUUUAGAACCGCAUGGUUCUAAAGUGAAAGAUGGUUUUGCUAUCACUUAUAGAUGGACCCGCGCCGUAUUAGCUAGUUGGUAAGGUAACGGCUUACCAAGGCAACGAUACGUAGCCGACCUGAGAGGGUGAUCGGCCACACUGGAACUGAGACACGGUCCAGACUCCUACGGGAGGCAGCAGUAGGGAAUCUUCCGCAAUGGGCGAAAGCCUGACGGAGCAACGCCGCGUGAGUGAUGAAGGUCUUCGGAUCGUAAAACUCUGUUAUUAGAGAAGAACAAAUGUGUAAGUAACUGUGCACGUCUUGACGGUACCUAAUCAGAAAGCCACGGCUAACUACGUG
rnacentral:rRNA from 1 species